AUGGUCAUUAUCUCGCCUUCUCUGGUCUGCACUGAGGGCCCACUGGCUAGGCUCACAGGGCAGUCACCAAAGCCAGACCAUCCCCGCCCUGCAAGGAUGGGCCUUGGUUCUGGGAUGCUGCAGAUGUUCAUAACCAAGUCCUCUGUCAUUUCCUCUCAACAGGAUACCUUGUGGCCCAGCCACAUGGGAUCUUCAGGUUGGGACAAGGAGAAGAGAAGGCAGGGAUGGCAGCUGGAGAAAGCCCACUGUGGAGCUGUCCAGGGAGCUCAAGGUCACAUGAAGAGUCAAAAGGAACAAUCAGAAGCCCUAUUCAUAAGGUGGUUUGAAGACUUCAUUGCUGUAGUUUGGAUUAACUCCCCUCCCAACCCCCAUCCCAAACUGCAUUUAUAAUUUGUGACUGAGAAUCAUUUGUUUGUUAAUGUACUGUGCCUUUAACUUUAUACAACUUUUUAUUUUGAUGUCCUGUUGGCUCAGUAAUGCUCAAGAUAUCAAUUGUUUUUGACCAAAUAAAUUUAAUGAACUUGGGCUAAAAUCAAACCUUGGCACACAGGUGUGAUACAACUUAACAGGAAUCAUCGAUUCAUCCAUAAAUAUUGUAAGGAAAAAAACCUAAGCAGUAGCCUGCAUUAGGGCUUUUUGAUAUUUACAGAUUGGGGGGAAACAAACAACAAAUGUCUUUGAAGCCUAUUAAUGGAAUUAGUUUCUAAUGUGGUGAACUGUAUUAAGUUAAGGUUCUGAUUUGUUCACUCUAUCCUGGAUAGGUAUUUAGAACCUGAUAGUCUUUAUUUAUUUUUUUUUAAAAUUUUUUUUAUUAGUUGGAGGCUAAUUACUUCACAACAUUUCAGUGGGUUUUGUCAUACAUUGAUAUGAAUCAGCCAUAGAUUUACACUUAUUCCCCAUCCCGAUCCCCCCUCCCAUCUCCCUCUCCACCCGAUUCCUCUGGGUCUUCCCAGUGUACCAGGCCCGAGCACUUGUCUCAUGCAUCCCACCUGGGCUGGUGAUCUGUUUCACCAUAGAUAGUAUACAUGCUGUUCUUUUGAAACAUCCCACCCUCACCUUCUCCCACAGAGUUCAAAAGUCUGUUCUGUAUUUCUGUGUCUCUUUUUCUGUUUUGCAUAUAGGGUUAUCGUUACCAUCUUUCUAAAUUCCAUAUAUAUGUGUUAGUAUGCUGUAAUAGAACCUGAUAGUCUUUAAACAAGUCAUUCCAGUCAUGAUGAGGUGAUGUAUGAAUACAUGCAUACAUUCAAAGCACUGUUUUCAAAUGUAAUGCAAAUAAAUACAGUAAUUUUUCAGUGAUUAGGCAAAUCAUUAAUUAUGAGCUAGCCAAAUGUGGGCAUAAUAUUACAGGGAAAGUUUAAGGGUCUGAUAACUUGAGAUAGGAUUUUAGGAGAAUUCAUCUACUUAGACUUUUUAAAUGCCUGCCAUAAAUGAAAUUGAAAUGGUAGAAUGGCUGACCACAGCAGUGACCAGCCCUUGUUAGGGCCCUGGGUGAUUUUUGAUCUAAUAACGCAUGCUAGUGUUGAUGUUUUUUGGUCAAGAGGGUAUGAACAGGAAGAAUUAAAUGCAGCAGGCUUUCUUUUAAAUGCCGAUUCAUAUUACUCUGUUCAAGCUCUGUUGAGAUGUUAAACUGUCUUACAAUAGACUUUGUAAAAAUGGCUCCAGAAGAGUGACAAACUGAAAUCUUUGAGAUCACACAGGUUGGAAGUAUGUACAUAACUGCACAAGGUGUCAAUUCUGCUACACAGUGCAGUUUUAGUCAGUUUUAGUUGCAUGGGUUUCCAUUGUAUUUAUAGUCUGUUUAUGCUAAAUCUGGCCAAAGAUGAGCAUUGUCCACCACUAAAAUGCCUCUGCCACUUUUGAAUUCUGUGCUAAUUUUGUGGCCAGAAUGCGGUGAUCAAAAUGCUCAAUCUUUUUACAGUGGCAUAGGAAGAUGGCAAAAAUUUCCUAAAGUGCAAUAGAUUUUCAAGUGUAUUGUGCCUUGUUCUAAAACUUUUAUUAAGUAGGUGCACUUGACAGUAUUGAGAUCAUUUGUUAUGGUGCUAUUUCAAUUAGUCUAGGUUUAGGCGCUUGUACAUUUUGCCCAUAACUUUUUACAAAGUACUUCUUUUAUUGCUUAUUCAGAAAAUUAUAUAUAUAUGUCUUGUGUGCAUGUCCUUAUACUUCCAAUAUUAUUUUGUCUCUUGGAGAUUGUUGAAGACAGCUUGUCUAGGAAGGGGAUGGGACUAGAUUCUAAAAUCUAUUUGGGACCAUGGGAAUGAUAGUUGGGAAGAAAACUAUUUGCACAUGACAGAUUUCUAGAUACUUUUUGCUGCUACUUUUAUGUUAUAUUUAUUGAACAUUUUGGCAAAUACUUAUUUUUGUAAGCCUAAAAGUGAUUCUUUGGAAGUUUAAAAAAGAAACUUGACCAAAAGACAGUACAAAAACACUGGCACUUGAAUGUUGAAUAUCACCAUAUGCGUGGAAUUAUAUAUUUCAGAGUAGUGUGAGCUUUUAAUGUUAAGUCAUAUUAAACUCUUAAGUCAAAUUAAUCAGACUUGGCAUUGGCAGUGUAGCCAUAACUUUCUGAUGUUAGUAAAAACAAAAUUGGUGACUUUAAAUUAAAUCAUGCCAAGGUUUUGAUACACUUUUCUUAAGUUAUUAAUGAAACACUUCAAAACACUGCUAUGAAGUGUCCAUAUUCAAAUAUUGUGUGUUUUGUUUUGUUGUGUGUAUUUUUUUUUUUCAGUGGAUAUCUGGCUCAUUGCAAUCCUGAAACGUGUGGUUAUCUUUGUUGUAUUGGCAUAAUCAGUGACUUAUACAUUCAGUGAUAGCAUUUGAGCAAGUUUUAUCAGCAAGCAGUAUUUUUAGUUAAUAAAUAAGGUUUCAAAAAUCAUGUAAGAAUGAAUUUAAACUUGCUGAAUGUAAAGAUUGAACCUCAGGUCACUGUAGCUUUAGUAAUUGCUUAUUGUAUUAGUUUAGAUGCUAGCACUGCAUGUGCUGUGCAUAUUCUGAUUUUAUUAAAAUAAAAGUUGAACUGCACGGUAAAAAAAAAAAAAACAAACAAACAAAGAAAGCAUCAUAAACUUGUAAUUAAUUUAGGCCAUAUCUUACCUCUCUUGCUUUUUACCUGAGCCUUCAACUGGCAUUCAUUCAGGUAGCUAUAGUUAACUCAGAAUUAGUGUUCUAGUUCUCAUUAUAUGUUUUUUGGAUGAAUUGAGCUCUAUUUAUGUCAAAAGUUAAUUAUCAACAUCAGUAUAUAUCAAUUUUCCUAGAAAAUUUAUAAUAGAAAUUUUGAAAAGUUCCAGAUUGUGUACUGGUUUCUAUACUUGCACCUAUGAAAUAUAUGAAAGGACAAUGAGUGUUCCCACAAAUGAAAAUGAUAUAGCUCUGGUCGCUGUGGAAAAUGGGGGCAAGUACACAUGAGAUUAGGGCCAGAUUAUAGUCUGAGCUGUCCCUACAGGGCCCACAGCAGGUCCAAAGAUCAUGCUAGAGGCAUUGGAGAGCCUCCUGGGGAGGGGGAGGGGGACUGUGGCUCACAGCAGAGGCAAGGACAGAGAAACCUGAGACCCUAAGAAAAAUUAUUUUUAUGGCUUGAUUUGUUCUGUUGUUUGUGAUUUUCUUCCUCCUUUGUUGUACUUAUUGCUUUUAUUAUUUUUUAUUUAUAGUCUUUUGAGAUUUAUUUUUAUCAUACUUUUUACUUUUAUACUUUGGUUUUCUGUUUUUCUGUUUCUUCUCCUUUUAUAAAUAUGCAUAUAGUUUUACUAUAUAUAUACAUAAUUUUAUUAUAGUUUAUUUUAUAUCUAUAUAGUUUUGGGCUUCCCAGGUGGCAUUAGUGGUAAAGAACCCAUCUGCCAAUGAAGGAGAUGGAAGAGACUCAGGUUCGAUCCCUGAGUAGGCAAGAUCCCCUGGAGGACAUAGCAACCGACUCCAGUAUUCUUGCCUGGAGAAUCCCAUGGACAGAAGAGCUCUUCCAUGGGGUCACAAAGAGUAGGACAUAACUGAAACGACUGAGCUUGCACACAUAUAUAGUAUUAUUAUAGUUCUAUUUUAAAUUUGCUUUUAUGUUCUGAUAUUUUCUUUCUUUUCAGUUAUUUUUGUCUGAUUUGUUUUCUUGGCUUUAUUAUUUUUCACUCUGGUUUUGUUUUCUGUUUUGAGUUUUUAUUAGUUUUGUUUAUAAUUGAUUUAAUUUUUGGUUUCUUUUGUUUGUCUGCUUGUUUUCUUGCUUUUGUUUUUUAGUUCUAUGUUUGUUUCCUGUGUGUGUGUGUACUUUUUUUUUUUAUCUUGUUUUUGUUUGAUUUUACUUUUACCAUUUGCCUGCCAUUUUUUCUUUAAUCUCCCUAUUGCUGUGAUGAGUGACAUUCAGGGUCUUGGUUCCCUGACCUGAAACCAGGCCUGACUGUCUAGGGAUACAGCACUGAAUCCUGGAUACUGGACAGCAAGAUGAUUCCUGGCCUCAGGGAAUAUUUAUCAGUGAUAGCUCCCACAAACACCAUCAUCUGAAUCCAAGACCUGGCUCCAUCCAACUGCCUGAAACAAGCAGUGAUGGAUAGCUCAUGUCAAGAAAAAGCAGGACAGGAACACAAACCCAACCGUAAGCAGAUAGGCUGCCUAAAGUCAAAGUAAGCUAACAGAUACCCCAAAUACACAACUUGACAUGGACUUGCC
rnacentral:lncRNA from 1 species